CUAGAUAGUAAUUACAAGACAAAAGCCCAAAAUACUACCGGGAACAAAUAAUCCGCCCGCCACCGGUCAGCGGAGGAUGGAGCCUAUAGAUUUCCCGGCUCCAUUUCCGUAGAUUGAAAAGUCCAUGUAUAAGGAUGUUAAAUGGGAAGAGUUCAGCCGUUGAUUCGCCAGGAAUCGGUUCACUCAACCAAAGUGUAUGUCACUCGGCUCGUACACAAGCCGACGAAAGCGCAAGCCAACUUGGAAGAUGGCACGAUAAAUUUGCUGCUUCUCACGCUAGUCGGACGAGCUGAGCCUGCUAGCCGCACUUAACAGUCCUAACUGCAGGUCAUUUGCCUAUCACCUGACUUCGAUUUCUCUUCGUGAAAAUGUCUCCUCGCAGAAUUCUAGCGUUCCAAUAAAUCCUUAUUUUCCUUUUCACUUCAGUAAAGCCCUAUUUACAUUUUGAUUCAUUUAUAACCCCGCCCCCCCGGGCUAUGGACAUCGUGUAUACUGUUUUUUUAUAUUUAUGCCAUUUCUAUGUACUCUUCUGUUCUGAAUUAGUGCUGGAAGGAAUUCUAAGGAUUGUUAUGUUGCAUUGUUAUAUAAACUUGAAUAAGUACUUCCUUUGCACUGCUUAUUGUUGCUGAAAAGUCUUGUAAAUAUAUCGAUUUAUUAUUUUCGAGGGAUAGAGCGUAAAUUUUGUGGGUAAGGGACUUCAAUUUUGCACUUGCUGGUCCAUGUAUCUGGAUUAAGAAAUUUGAUUCUACCGGGGAACUAAACAAUGAUGAGUUAUAUUUGGAUUCCUUUUUCCUAUUUCAAUGAGGAAAAUAUUAAAAUCAGCUCCUUGUGUCCUAAAUUUAUCUAUAUUUCUCUUUCCCUUAAACUUGUGUAAAGGCAUAUCUGAAUUGCUCCUCUUUCGUUGGUGGUGCCUUGACAAGGUAUUGAAUCAGUUGGCAAGUGGAUUAGUAAAUUUAAGCUUGGUUACGAUUUGAUCUGUCAUAACGAAAACUCCUUGAUUCAUAUACCUGAAGGAAUAAUUUGGACAUUAUAAGGUCUUCUCGUUGUUAACUGGUUAAGUGCCCUGAUUAUCUGUGAAUAGUGAGAAGAUAGAGAAUGGUUUGGAAGAGAGAAGAGGAAUGCAUAAUGCAGUUUUAUUGUUUCUCAAGUUUCCUGUUUGGGAAAGAAAGGAAUUGAGAAGGGAGAUUUUGGAACGUUACUAUUCCUUUCUAUCUAUAGGUGAGAGCGAAAAGCUUACCACUUUUUCUAUAACUCUUCUUACUUUCAAUAGAAGAUUAGGAAAAAAGGAAGUUCAUCUUUAAACUAUCCACGUGUUUAUGAUGUAAACUUGGAAUAGUGAAAUGGACAUUAUGACUCUUCUGUCGUUUGUUUUGUGAUCCACACACAAAAAAACUGGAGAACUUAGUCCUUCCACUAGCCAUCAUUAUUUUUAUUUCAUUGUUUAUCUACCUUUUUGACCUUUAUACCUGAUGGAACAUAAAUUUGUUGUCGUCUUACAUGAGAUGACACGAAAGAAAAUUUGUGCUGUAUUUACAGAAUAUAAUUUAAUAUGCCGGUUAAUAUUAUGUUUGUUGACCUCCUUAUAGUGGCCAAGUGUUUUCAUAAUUCAUGUCUCCGGCUGCAGUCUGCUUUGGUAAGAAAGGGAUGUGUGUUGUCCCCAGGCUUCACAGUUAUCACUGUAAUUUGUUUUACAUUUAUUUCUUGUAGUGCUUGGGGCAUGAAAUUUUGAAGCAGCUAGUCUGACAGACUUAAAAAAAUAAAAUCAAAUACUGUCCUUAAUCGCUUCUUUUAGGUUCAAUUAUUUGCACAGGCUACUUUAAUUAUUCUAUACUUCAGUGAUAUAACUCUAUGUUGAACAGUUACAGUUUGUACAUGUGAAGAAUGAAUUUUGAUGUGACAAGUUCUUUGUUAGGUCCCAUUAGCUAAAGGAAAAAAGUUCUGGGCCACGAAAAGGAACUUAUAAUUGAUAAUCAGAUUAAUAUUUGCAUUAUUGGACGUGCCACUUGUACUGAAGCUGAUGAUCAUCUUGUCAAGUGGUUCAUGCUUAACUAGUUUUUUGGUCCACUUUUUAACCAUGAUUUACUGGAUGCCAAUCAAAUAUGUUACAAAUUGCCGACAUAUGCACGACAAAUAAAAUAUUUUAAAAGCUGCAACAAUUGUUAUUUUUUACUUUGCUUAUAUUAUUUUAAUUGGUUUUGACAGCUUUCGCUAACCUGAUUAUCUUCGUGCAUUCAGUUGGGAAUUUACACUAACAAGAAUUUGAAUGGUGAUUAACCACAAAUAGGACACAUGAAUUAUAUAAAAUUCUAUUCACUUAUUCCGCGUUGAAUACUUACAUCACAUGCUCUAAAUGUGGAAGUUUAAUGAACUUUCCUGCCAUCUUGUGUGGUAGCUCAAUGUGAUAACUAACUGAGAUAUUGGCUUUCCCUAUGGUUGAAAGUUGGGAUGGAAUUAUUUGGAACCCUAUGAUGAUGAGCUUCUGACUACCCAUAUAUAAUAUAACCUCAUAUUUCUUCAUAUGUUGGAUGUAAGAACUGAUUACUUUGUUUAGAGCUUUAUGUCUUCUCAAUUUGAAUUUACCUGGAAUCUUUAACCGUAUACGCUAAAUUAUUGCUAUAUGCACGGGCCUAGUAAUCUUAUUAUGUCUGGUUAUUAUCUGCAAGGAGUUUCAUAUUGAGGUUCAAUUUCCAUGCAAUUCAUAUUCUGUCCUUGCUCCAAUAAGGAGAAUAGAAUGGAAAUGGUAAAAAUGAAAAAAAUAUAGUAAUGUAGCACACAAGCAAGAUUUACUCGUCCAUUUUUGGAAAUUUUCUUGGGUUUCCCUCAAGAACUACAAUGCGAACUUCCGGUCAUGGAGUUUGAUCUUUAUAUUUGCUAUUAUGCUUGGUACUUGUCUUUUCAGUUCUAUGCUUUAAAUGAUCCAUUCAAGGUUGCUUUUUUUGCUUUUUUAUCUGGCUAGAUCUCGUCAAGGUAAUAUCUGUGAUGUUUGCUAAAUGAUCCUUUUAAGGUUGCUUUUUUUGCUUUUUAUCUGACUAGAUCUCGUCAAGGUAAUGCCUGUGAUGUUUGCUAGUGAGAAUUCUGCAUGGGAAAUUCCUACACUUACUGAGGUGACCAAGCAGCAAUGGCCGGCCUGGACACUCUCGUGCAAAUUACUCUUGCCUUGUGUGUUGUAGGGUGGAAUUGGAGUUCCUAAUUGAAAUUUGAAAAAAUGAGUUGAAAUUUGAGUAAAAUUGUAAAAGUUUCCACCUGGCAACGUUGUCCAAUGCAGCAUCAAAUUAUUUCAGCCAUGUAGGUUUCAAUGUCUUAUAUUUAUGAUAUGGCAUUGUUUUGGUUUAGCAUUUUAGUUAAAAGGGGAAAAACCGUUAAUUUGUGUAGUGAAGGUGACUCGGCCUAGUGUGGACUUGACCUGUAUGUUGAUGCACAUUCAAUGAUUCUAAUUUGUGGGGUUUGCAUCUUGGUUGGUAGACUAUACUGAAAGAGGAAUUCAAAUUGCUUGUUACCAAACACAUGUUGACUUCAUUGAUACGAACCUCAUAUUAUCCUUUUUCUAUUUUCUUGUUCAUCUUUCUUUUUGUCAAAUAUUGUGGUUAAUCCUAAUGUUAUAGGAUGAAUAAGUGAAUACCUAAGCAAGAGAUGAAUUGAAUCAAUAUUUACAAGGUAGGGCUUGAUCAGCCUGCAGACGGGCUCCUUCUACUGGCACCAUUACCUCCAUUUGCAGGCUAAACGAUAUUAAGGAAGAAAAUAAAAUUAAAGUAUGUUUAAUGUGUACCAUUAGACUUGGAUUCAGCAAAUAUUGUCCAAGUCGAUCCAGUCCACAUGCUGCAAGAAUCAAUUAGGACGGAUGGACAUAUAUCCUUUCGUUCGUUUUCCCUCCAAUGUUUAUCAUAUUAUAACCCCCUUUUAGAUGACAUAGCGAACAUGACAGCGAAAAACUCGAGAUUCGAUCAUUCAUUCGUAGGAUGCAGAUUUCUUUAGACCCAUGCGUAAUGACACUGAAAGACGAUGUGGACAUAACCUAUCAUUAUCUACUAACAGAAAUCUUUCCCAGAGUCAAAUUAAUAGACGUUAACAGCUCAUCGAUGGGCACUAGAGCAAAAGUGAAAUUUGAUUUUCGAGACAUGCAUCAAAUGUACUCUAUGUAUCGUCAAAUCGGGCCUUUAUAAUUAUCUUACCAGUCAUGGUUUUUGAUGGCUUCUAUAAAUGGUAGGUCAUGGCAGCCAAGGUUGCAUCUCUUUCAAGUAUCAUGACAAUCUAACUGACCCACC
rnacentral:lncRNA from 1 species